rnacentral:sRNA from 1 species
AAUUGUGUCGAGCGUGCAUAAGCCGGUCACGCUUGUAAAAUUUAUUUUUCGCACAGGUCACGAUUUGUCCACCUGGCUGUGAGGCCACAUACUUUCCAGUCAAAAUUAAUGUAGCAAAGCUACGGCGCGGGUUUAACAGCCAGUAUGGCUCUUUUGAUGACGAGUUGCGGGCUGCAUUUAUAGAAGAGAGUCGGAAUGUGUUCCGCCUCAAUCUAGAAGUGGUUCAUACAAUUAAAGGCGUGCUAAUCUGAAGAAGCUGGCUAUCGCAGCUAUCGCAGCUAUCUUUAUAUCAAGCAUAUAUUUGGCCAUCAAGUUUGCUACUAAGUAUUGCGAAGUCUUACCUGCUUUUGCUUCUGCUGCUGAUAUUUUAGUAUUGUGAUCAUCAGAUAUAAAAAGUAUAUAAUAUCUAAUA